CUAAGGUGAAGCAUUGCUUGGUGUAAGGUACAAGAACAUAAUGACAUGCUAAUCCAAGUGCUCCAUCCGUUUUCCCCAUGUUGCCCAACUGUAAUACCUUAUCCUCAUUGACAGAAGUCACCAUUGGGUGCUUGUCUACUGGCUACCUUCCUGCUCCUGUGGAUGUUACUUGGAAUUCAGGUUCCAUAACCACUGGAAUAAAAAGCCUCCCUGAGAUACUUAGUAAAAACGGAAAUUAUAUCUCAAGCAGCCUUUUGACUAUUUCUGUAUCUGAUUGGAAAAGCAAGAAAUAUACAUGUAAUGUGAAUCACAUGGGCAGUAAAGUGGACAAGACUAUACCAGCGUUCAAAUCCAACUUACCCAUUGUGGAAGUUUUACAAUCAUCUUGUGGGCGAAAUGGUUUGGUUGACCUUGUUUGUCUUAUUAGUGGAGCCUCACCUACAGACAUUAAUAUAACAUGGCUUCAGGAUGAAAAGGCAAUUUCUGUGGUCCCAUCAAACAACAUGGAUAGCCAAGGAAAGUUUAUAUCAAGCAAACUUAGCGUUUCCCAGGCAGAUUGGAAUGCUGGAAUUGUUUACGCUUGUAAGGUGAACCAUCUAGCAAGUUCUACCACAAUUAAACAAAACAUAACCAAAUGUAAAGAGUCAUCCUGUUUCCAUCCAAGGGUUUUCCUUCUCGACCCUUCCCCAAAAGACUUGCUGAUCACGAAAAAACCAAAACUUACUUGUGUGGUGUCAAGUUUAACCUCUACAGAAACUUUAAUCAUCACAUGGAAGCGCAGUGAUAACAAAAAUGCUCAGGGAGAUACAUCGAACCCUUAUAAAAAAUUUGAUGAAACAUAUACUGUUAAUAGUACCCUCAACAUUAGUUUAAGCGACUGGGAGUCUAAAGUAUGCUUUACCUGCCACGUUGAACACAGGAAUCUUUCAAUCCCAGUAGAAAAGUCAACUAAAAACAAGAGACAAGAUCAACCAAAGGAACCAACAAUCCAUAUGUACCCACCAGCAAAUGGAACAGUUAAUGAUCAUUUUGUGAGUGUUAUUUGUCUGUUUGAAGGCUUCAGUCACAAGGAUUUAUAUGUUGAAUGGAAGAAGAAUGAUAUAACCAUAAAGGAAGGAAUGUACAUGAACACUGAACCCAUAUUGACCGACGAUAAUGAAACCUAUAUUAUGUUCAGCAGAGCCCUUGUUUCUAAAAAAGACUGGAACGAAGGGAAGACAAUUGUCUGCUCCGGAGGACUUAGAAAUAUUUCAUCAAAAUUCAUCAAUAAAAGUGUGCACUUCAUCUGGGAGAACAGCAGUGAGGAUGACGAGGAUAGUCUAUGGUACACAUCUAUUACAUUCUUCAUCCUCUUUAUCUUGAACUUAUUUUACAGUGCAGCCAUCAUGACUGUAAAGGUAAAAAAGACUUAUCUUACUUGAUGCACAUUUUGUCAUUGUAAUGGCUUUUGCUAGUCAGUGAAGAAACUGAAAAUCAAGUCAAGAACACUCCAGUCAAGACAAUUUGCUUCAUAUGUACCUUUUGCAUAGGGACUUUAGGAUUUUUUUUGCCACAUACAGUGUAUUCACAGGAGGUUAGCUUGUCUCAUUAUUACUAUAGCCCAUGGGGGCCCUACAAACAAUCUAGACCUUUUAUAAGGAAUAAGAAUUACAUUUGUUUCAUACUAUACCCAUGUAGAUAUACUGCUUAUUACAAAUGAGUGAGCUCAUGACUUACAACUAUACAUCGCUCUCCAUAUGGAAAGGACAGUGCUUAAUGGGAUUGACUCGGCCUCAGCAAUCCUAUUGCAAUAUGAUCAAUGAUGAUUGCGAUGAUUCUUAAACAGUGAAAAACUGACUAGUAUUUUUAAAAAUCCCAUUCUGUUUGAAUAAAAAUGAAUGAAUUGGAUAA